CGGAGGAGCGCUUCCGGCCGACGUCUCGUCGCUGAUUGGCUUCUUUUCCUCCCGCCGUGUGUGAAAACACAAAUGGCGUGUUUUGGUUGGCGUAAGGCGCCUGUCAGUUAACGGCAGCCGGAGUGCGCAGCCGCCGGCAGCCUCGCUCUGCCCACUGGGUGGGGCGGGAGAUCAUUCCUUGAGGACAGGACAGUGCUUGUUUAAGGCUAUAUUUCUGCUGUCUGAGCAGCAACAGGUCUUCGAGAUCAACAUGAUGUUCAUAAUCCCAAGAUGUUGCCAUUUAUGUUCUCAGAAGCAAGCAGAGGCAUGAUGGUCAGUGACAGUAAUGUCACUGUGUUAAAUGUUGCUAUGCAGUUUGGAUUUUUCUAAUGUAGUGUAGGUAGAACAUAUGUGUUCUGUAUGAAUUAAACUCUUAAGUUACACCUUGUAUAAUCCAUGCAAUGUGUUAUGCAAUUACCAUUUUAAGUAUUGUAGCUUUCUUUGUAUGUGAGGAUAAAGGUGUUUGUCAUAAAAUGUUUUGAACAUUUCCCCAAAGUUCCAAAUUAUAAAACCACAACGUUAGAACUUAUUUAUGAACAAUGGUUGUAGUUUCAUGCUUUUAAAAUGCUUAAUUAUUCAAUUAACACCGUUUGUGUUAUAAUAUAUAUAAAACUGACAUGUAGAAGUGUUUGUCCAGAACAUUUCUUAAAUGUAUACUGUCUUUAGAGAGUUUAAUAUAGCAUGUCUUUUGCAACAUACUAACUUUUGUGUUGGUGCGAGCAAUAUUGUGUAGUCAUUUUGAAAGGAGUCAUUUCAAUGAGUGUCAGAUUGUUUUGAAUGUUAUUGAACAUUUUAAAUGCAGACUUGUUCGUGUUUUAGAAAGCAAAACUGUCAGAAGCUUUGAACUAGAAAUUAAAAAGCUGAAGUAUUUCAGAAGGGAAAUAAGCUACUUGCUGUAUUAGUUGAAGGAAAGUGUAAUAGCUUAGAAAAUUUAAAACCAUAUAGUUGUCAUUGCUGAAUAUCUGGCAGAUGAAAAGAAAUACUCAGUGGUUCUUUUGAGCAAUAUAACAGCUUGUUAUAUUAAAAAUUUUCCCCACAGAUAUAAACUCUAAUCUAUAACUCAUAAAUGUUACAAAUGGAUGAAGCUUACAAAUGUGGCUUGACUUGUCACUGUGCUUGUUUUAGUUAUGUGAAAGUUUGGCAAUAAACCUAUGUCCUA
rnacentral:lncRNA from 1 species